UUAUGAUUAUUGGCAAUAUGGUCAAUUCACGUCUAGUUUUGCCCCCUUCACUAUUAAAAUCACUGAUAUGUAGAGAAAAAAUUUGUUGCGGCUGUAAGUCUAGAACUUUGGUCUUUUUAACUUCUUUAAUUUCAUGUUGCUCCCUGAUCUCUUGAAGUGGCCACGUCACUUUUAAUUCUAAUGGCUUGACACGUGUCCCGGAAUCUGUAGAGCCGGGGCUGCUCGACACUGUCCUUCCCGGGCCUCAUUAAUCGACACUGUCCUUCCUUCCCGGGCCUCAUUAACACAGUCGUAGCCUUAAUAUUAUUUCCCUUCCUUCGCCUGCCUUCGUCCCCUCGUCUUCCUAAUUUCCACACCUCCGCUGCCGCCGCUCGCGCCUCCGACCUCGACCCCGCCGUCGCUGGUGUUAACCCUCGCAUCUCUGCUUGCGGCGCUCGGGCCCUCGGCCGCGACCGCGGGGCGCCGGGCACCUCAUUCUUCGCCUGCGUCGUUCCUGUUGUCUUCUUGGCGUUGCUGCCACUCGCCUGCGACCUCGACUCCGCCGUCGCCCGCGCUAACUGUCGCGUCUUCGGUGCCGUUGGUUGUGGCUCCGACCUCGACUCCGUGGUCUCCGGCGACUUACUCUUCUUCUUCGAUUUUGGUGUUCUGCUGUUCGGCUUCUGGUACUGUUUCCUGCCGGCGGCGUUGGCCUGCUCCCCGCGGCAUUCCCGCGGUAGCGUAAUUCCCCAAUCUUGCUCCGCUUCCUUUGCCUUGCUUCGCUGCAUCAGACUCUUGAACUGGUGAAUCUUCUUCUGUUAUGUAUAGUUUAGUGUCUAUUCAGAACACUUAUCUGUUGUGCUUCGACCUGAUGUUCCGGGUUUUACUAUUUGUCCAGUACCUAUCACAGAUUGUACUGCGUGGCUGUGUUCUGAGCAGUAUAGAAUUAAAAAAAGUUAAUUAUCAUCCUCUGCAGGUGACCUAUCGUACAUUGUGCUUGUGCUUUUUAUUUUCUGCUAUACUUAGUCUGCUGAAUAAUGCUGUUCGUGUUGUUACUCAUGAAAUUUUGUUAUGCCAGUUAAUGGUGAUCUGCCUUCUGUGUUAAUUACUGCGUGAUUGUUUUGGUGCAUAUGUGUUGUUGCCUGCGGCUUCCUGUGUUGGCCUAUUCUUCUGUCCCAGGUUAGAUUCGAAUGACUUGCUUCAGUUCUAUGCUGAAUAAAUUUGAUUGACCUACUUCUCUUGGUUCUUAUGGGUAUGUCUGCUGCAAUUAUACCUUUAUUCUACUUAAUGCCGUCAUACAUUCUAUGGAAUAUAAUUGUGAAUUUUGGUUGCCUCUCAUGUUUGUUUGUGCCUUGCCAUCCUGUUUACUGUGUAUGCGAAGUCGGUUUAUAUAUGAUAAUGUCAACUAAGACAUGAUAAUGCGUGCCCUGUUCCUCUUGUCUUCAGUUCAAAAAUUGUACAGCUGGAUGGCAGUUGCCCUGUUCCUCUUGUCUAGAAUUCGGGAUUUGUAGACUUAGAAAGUCCAGGAAUGUCCCACGACCGCCUCUCACAAUCAUCAGGGAUGAAUCCCCCCUGAAUUUCCACUACGACAUCCCAAGAUUCAUGGCCAACACAGCAUAAAUCUAACCGAACAGAUAGAAUCCAGGCAGUAUAUCAACCUAUCGGCAACACAACAAACACCAAAACCUACUCAACACCGAAAUCCUAAUCUUCUGCUACCUUAGUUCGUUGCUAUACAACACAUUCAAGUUUCGUCAGCUGAGAUCCAUACACCGACGUAUUUAUCAGCCUCAGUUCACCAAUCGCCUCUCACAACUACAUCAGACCUCCAAUUACAAGAUCCAGCUGCACCAUGGAUAGGUUCAAAUACUCCAAUCUUACCAUCAUCGAAGAAGACCAUUACAUCAGAUCAAGAAUGAACCAGCUACAACAGAUUAUAAUUGCAAGAUUACCACACCACGGAUCAUGGAACAUUACUCCUCAAACUAUCCGGACAGCUAUUCAGUCUCAAUUUGGAGCAUCCAUUGCCAUCGAUGAUAUAUCGCAGUAUGAAUCAAAUUUCUUACUCCAAAUACAUUCACAUACUACUCGCAAAAGCAUGUUAUCUAUAUGAUAUCUAAACAUGAAUCCUGUCAGCGCAAAUCUUAUACCUUGGAAUCCAGAAUAUGGCUCCAUUGCUACCCUAGCCUAUCAACACUUAACAGGCCUAUCCAACUUUGAUCAUAAUACCUAUGCACGCAAUUUAGGCAAACCACCUAGACACAUACAGAUUCAGAUAUCUGGCAUUCCACCGCAUCUAUGCACUCAUACAACAGUCAACACGCUACUAGACAAAUUAGCCAUAGUGCAAGAAAUCAUACUAAAUCCCACCAACCACAGAUACAUUGUCUUUGCAAAAACACACUGCCUUGAUGUAAUUCCACCUACAGCAGCUAUAGGCAUCAAGAGAAUGCUAGAUGGCAAGCUCUUAUUUAAUAUUUGGCCUAUCUUGUAUGAAAUAAUUGAGAUCAACAAUCAGCAUACUGGAACUUCUUGUCAUGAACAAUUAGAACAACCAAUCAGACUAGGUUUCAUGGAGGAAUGCUACAGCCCACGCCCAGACGACGAGGCAACCUCAAAACAUCACUACACAGAUAUUGAAAACUUCUCACCAAUACACAACUCAAGCGACCAUGAAUGUGGAUUCGAAUCAGACCGAAGCAUGAAUUAUUGAUCAAUUUGGAGCUCAGUACAAGAUGCAGAACCAAGCCCCAACAAUCUUAGCUACCAAACCAGUCAACCUCAUAUGUUAUAUCAGUUUAGCACUGUAAAAGACCUUUGUAAACUAUAAUCAACAACCUACUAAUAUUUUUUUUGCUAAUUACUUAUUUCUGAUGUUUUACCA